rnacentral:rRNA from 1 species
GGGUCUGCGUUUCAUUAGCUACCNUUUUAGGGUAAUGGCCUACCAAGGCAACGAUGAGUAGCUGGUCUGAGAGGAUGAUCAGCCACACUGGAACUGAAACACGGUCCAGACUCCUACGGGAGGCAGCAGUGGGGAAUAUUGCGCAAUGGGCGAAAGCCUGACGCAGCAACGCCGUGUGAGGGAUGAAGGCUUUCGGGUCGUAAACCUCUGUCAGAAGGGAAGAACGGGCAUUGGUCUAAUAGGCCUUUGUUUUGACGGUACCUUCAGAGGAAGCACCGGCUAACUCCGUGCCAGCAGCCGCGGUAAUACGGAGGGUGCAAGCGUUAUUCGGAAUUACUGGGCGUAAAGCGCACGUAGGCGGCCUUGUAAGUCAGGGGUGAAAUCCCACGGCUCAACCGUGGAACUGCCUUUGAAACUGCAGGGCUUGAAUCCUGGAGGGGGUGGCGGAAUUCCUGGUGUAGGAGUGAAAUCCGUAGAUAUCAGGAGGAACACCGGUGGCG